rnacentral:misc_RNA from 1 species
CUUAAUUAUAACUCAGGCUCAUCUGAGGUUCAACUUCAGUACACCAAUGCCUUUGUCUUAAUGAAAUAUAAUUCACAAGCUACCUUACCUCAAAACUCGAAAUUUACAGACUUCUUUUAAGUUCCACACAGCAGAAAAAAGAAAAUCUUGACACAACCAGGAAAUGCCACACUUAAUAGCUAAAGUUUUCUACAAGCAAAAAGGAUAAAGUAGGCCCAGGUGAAAUAACUUUUACACAAACAGGAAAUGCCAAAGACAUAAUAGGCUAUGUGUGUGUCCACAGUUCUCUGCGAGCAAGCAAGAUAAUUUACGCUUAGGUGAGACGAACUUCCCCUAAGCUUUGGUGUGCUUGUUUCACUUGUUUGUCAUAUUCGUCUUCUUCUUCUUCGUCGUCAUCCUCCUCCUCCACUUCUUCUUCUACAUCUCCUUCCUUCUCCUCCUCUUCUUCUUCACCUCCCCAGCCAAAACCUGAGACUGAACGGGAAACUGGAGGAGGAGUCUUUGCCUCUUCCACAAUUUUCAUAAUCUCCUCCACACUCUGAAGUGAAAAUGUUGGGUUUUCUUUUCUAUAAUAAGCCGCCUGUGCUGCUUCUGUCAACUCCCUAGGCAAAUUCUUCAAGAACCAUGGGUGCGACUUGAUUUCUUUGAUUGUGAUUCUCCUUGCAGAAUUGGCAACAAAUAUGCGAGAGAGAAGGUGCCUACAAUCUUGUGAUAUGUGAACAUAGUCAGGAAUCUUGUACUGUACCGCCAUUAUUCGUUGAAUGGUUUUCCUAAAGUUCUUUGGAUCCUCCUGGUCUUCAAAAGGGUAUGCCCCAACCAGCAUCACAUAAAGUGUCACUCCACAUGACCAAACAUCAGCCAGCUUGCCAUCAUAUUCCCUUCUGGAGAGAACCUCUGGAGCAAUAUAAGCUGGAGUCCCAACAGUUGAUUUUGGCCUUGAAUGCAACAGGGAUGACUUUGAGUAUCCAAAAUCACAUAUCUUCAAGCGUGGAGCUGCACUUCCAUCAAGAAGGGUAUUCUCCAGCUUCAGAUCUCUAUGACAUAUUUGCAUGUUGUGACAGUAGUGGACACCUGAAAUAAGCUGCUGGAAAAAGUAUCUGGCCUCAUCUUCACUGAACCUUCCUGCAUUGCAAAUGCGCUCAAACAGUUCUCCACCAGCUGCAUAUUCCAUAACAAUGGCAAGAUGAGUGGGAGUCAAUACCACCUCCUUGAAGCGAAUUAUGUUUGGAUGCCGAAGUGAUUUAUGAUUAAUGAUUUCCCUUGCUACAUUCUCAUCAAUCUUGUGUCCUCUCUCAAUGUAUUUCAUUGCC